rnacentral:rRNA from 1 species
UACGUAGGGUGCGAGCGUUAAUCGGAAUUACUGGGCGUAAAGCGUGCGCAGGCGGUUCGUUGUGUCGGCGGUGAAAGCCCCGGGCUCAACCUGGGAACGGCCGUUGAAACUGGCGAACUGGAGUGUGGCAGAGGGGGGUGGAAUUCCGCGUGUAGCAGUGAAAUGCGUAGAGAUGCGGAGGAACACCGAUGGCGAAGGCAGCCCCCUGGGCUAACACUGACGCUCAGGCACGAAAGCGUGGGGAGCAAACAGG